rnacentral:tRNA from 1 species
CAAGGAUUAGUUUAUUAAAAUUUUAAUUUUGGAGAUUAAAGAUAAAAGAUUUCUUUUAUCCUUGA